CUCACAUGCACUCUCACACACGCACACACACACACACACACACACACACACACACACACACACACACACACACUGUCACUCACAUACACACUCUCUCACUCACACACACACACACACACUCGAUCCGCGUGCGUUUGACACUUGUCGCGUGAGAUUGGAGCUCUGCGCAGCUUUAGAUUCACCUGAGCGGCGGAAUUGAACACACCUGAGCGGAUCUCACGCAUGUGAAUGUGCGGAGCGUGUGCGGGAUUAAUGCGCGCGACAGCAAACUGCGCGGGAGUCCUGCUCCUUGUGCUACAUUUGCAGUUUGGUCAAACCAAACCAAUCGAUUUCAUCUGUGAUGCGGAGGUGAGGAGAAGCAUGGAUGUUGCGGAGUCACUGGAGAAAGUCAUGACACACUGUCAAGACAAGCUACCAUCACCUGUCCUGUGUCCGUGCAUCAGGAUACACCGGAAAUCAUGGGAACAGACAUCAUUACACACACACACAUACUCUGGCAGUUCCAGCAGAAGCAGGCGAUCAUACGAGGCUUUUUGGACGUUCUUCUUCGAUCGAUGCGGAACGUGAAGGGAAGUGCGUCUGUUUCUUGUCAGAUCGGCAUACUGGAGAAGCUGGAGCACAGUGUGAAAAACCAUCUGCUGAUAGUGAACAAUCUAGAGCGACAGACUUCCACAUUCACUCCAGAUCGUGGCUGCAGGGCUCGUGAAACGGCCAGUUUAACGCAGACGGUGAAAUUCUACAGAAAGCUUCUUCGAGGUCCAGUGGAGCUUCUGGCAGACAGUCUCGCCAACACUUGCCCAGAACGCACAUGACCUACAUCCUUGACCUCUGUGACCUCAUCCACUUCCGACCUAUCUGCCUCAGAGGGUCAUGCUUGUUUUAACCUUUACGUGUAUUCAUUUACCAGCCGUUUUUAUCCACACUGACUUGCGAAAUGAGCAUUGAGACACAACAUCAUGAGACAUUCAAAAGUGAUUCAAUACAAAGUUCCAACUAAGCCCAGACUACCAGAUUACCCGCAGAGUUUUAUAUUUCUGAAGUCCUUGGAUUGAGUUCAAUCAUGACAUGGAGCAACUCUGGAUGUGGAGACUCCACCCUAACAGGAAUGUGUUGAGUGAUGUCAUGAAAACCACAUUUUCAAGAGGAAACCGAAAUGAUCAUUAAAUAUAAAUGUGCUUGGAAAGGACUCACGUUAUGUAACAUGUACAUACACAUCAUUUUAUAUGAUGCGGUAUAAGAGUAAUAUUGUAACAAUGCUAAUAAUAUUAAAUGCAAUGCAGUUGGUGUUUGUUCCCUGUAAAUAGUGUUUGACUAAUAUGUGUAUAAAACAUGCAAACUGUGUGUUUAAUGUGCAUUUUUCAUAGUGAGACAUAUAAUGUUUAUUAUACACUUUUGUCUGUAUUCAUAAUGUUUAUUAAAGAUGUUCACCCCUGUUCAAAAGGCCCAGGUAUCCUUAGAUGUUAUGGAUAAUUCUGACCAAUCAGAUUGCUUAGUGCUUAAUGUUACAUCCCAGGGCGUAUCUUUCUUUUAUUUCCUUGUUACAUCUGUGGAUGUAGAAGUUGCAUGUAUAUUGACUAUACAUUGUUUGUAUGUUUUCUGUUGUUUCCCUUGUGUUCCCUGUCAUCCCAACCAGGUUAAUUUACAUCAGCUGUAAGUAAUUAAGAUCGAGUGCUGAGCAGCUCUGAUUGGUGCACUACCAGAAGAACAUGGGAAUAAAGCUGAGGUGGAAAGUCUGCUAGGAGAGACUCUUUCCUCCUGCCCCAGCGUUGAUAGCCUUUGUGUUUUAAUGCUGUUGUUAAUUGGAAACUACAAUAUGAUAAACUUACUCCAAUUUAAACAUUGUAUUAUAAGUUCCUUUGUUGGGUGUGCGAUCUUUUCCACCCGUUGGUAUCCACGGAAGCGGGCGGUAGAGAGGUGGGCACCAUUUUCUUUGUUGUUAAACCUGUUUUCUGUUGUUUAUUGCUAGGUAGGGACUGAGGCCAGAUUUGUUGUUAUUUUCUAUUUCUUUGUCUGUAAGGGUAAGUAGUUUGUGCCUCCCUUUCAGCUAGACUCAUUUUGUUUGUUAUUUUGGCCUGGGCCUUGAAUACUUUCUGCUUCCCUUUUGUUUUGUAUUUA